ensembl:lncRNA
CUCCAACAGAAAUGAGGUUAGGAGUUAUGCUGACAGAGGAACAGAGUACUCCCCCGACUCCACUAAUGAGGAGUGUUUUAAGAUUGAGGAGUUUUUCAAAGGGAGAUUCAGAACCUGAGAUUGUUCGCUAGGCUAAUGUGCCCUGGGCAGCAUAUUUAUUUAGGAAAGAGGGUUUUUAGUUUGUGUGAACUGACCUGCUCCAGACCGUGAGUAAUGGGGAAUUGAUACCUGAACCCAUUUUCCUCUGAUCCUCAACUUUCUGCAUAUGCAUUGUUGUUGUUGUUUGUUUACCUUUUGAGCAGGAUGGACCGCACCAAUCAGCUUGUCCCCCCGGAAGUCCCUGACUGUGGCUAAGUCUACCCCUCGGCGUUUCCGAACCGGUACUGAACCCACAGAGCCUGGAAGCUGUGUGGGCGCGGCACGCGCCUGCGCAGUUCCGUCAACGCGCCCCUGCCCAGGGCGUCCGGCACCUCUAGGUCUGUGAGAACCCAGGCUGCCUCAGCUCUGCCAGCAGCGUUUGUUGAGCUGCGCAUCAAUUGCAGAGUCCUUAUAAUACGGAGUAGAGAAGGUCGUUGGAGCCCGACCUGUUGGAGGACACACAGAACGUUUGUGGGGGUCAAGUUCCCGAACGUUUCUCCUCAGAGGACUAUUAGGCCUUGCGGGGGGGAUGGCAGAUGUUCAGGCGUUCCGGUGAGACGUGGCUUCAGGCUGCAGGGAAACAGGUAGCGGUGUUUUCCACAUUGUGGCAUUGACAGAAUGUUCUCUUCAACUCUGUUCAGAAAUUCCCCCAGGAAGAAAGGAGAGUGAGAUGAGGACAACAUCUACUUCUCUUAGAAGACUCUGCUGCAGCCCCAUUUAGUGCCUUUUGUUUCUGUCUCAUGGGUGAGAACAGGAUCCCCGCAGCCAGCCUGAACUUAAAGUGAUAUGAGAAAAUUUCUGCCAGUGGUACUGAUUAUAAAGAGCACUCAUCUUUAUAUCGGAUGCAGGAGAAAUGGAGAGAAUCGUGUGCUGUCUUAAGAAAAGCACAUGAUUGUUCUGUGAUUCUACAAAAGAUAUAAAACAUAUGUAUUUUUAUUUGAUUUACAUAUUCAAUUGCAUAGUUAUGUAAUGCAUGUUUUGUUAAUAACUCUUAAAACCGGGGUUCUGUUAUGCUGUCUCAGCCAACAGAAGUCCAACCUAAAGGAUAUGAAAUGACAUUCUGCCCAUAUUGUUCAAGAAAAUAAAUGCCAUUUAAAGAGUAAA